UAGAAGAGUUUCAUGGAGCUCUUUCACUGCUGAGCCUGAGAAGGAAAACAAAAGUGCAAAAGUCGAAUACUUAGCUAAGCAAUGCCCUAAGAAAUUUAUCUUAAAAGUAUGCACAAACUCAACUCCUUUUUAAUAUUGAAUGUAUUGCAAUCCAACUCAUCUGUAAUGUUGAAGGUACUGAUAGGCAUUUUCUGUUUCUAAUCUAAGAGAAAGUAGAAGAUUGCAGUUUCCUAGAUACAUGGCCCCAUGAAGAAGGAAGCUUCAAGAAUCUUUUGCCAUGGUUACCAUAAUCAUCAGAGACAGUCCUGCACAGGGGAUUUAUACUUCCAAACCUACUGCCAGACCACAUUUGUCAGCUCCAGACCACAGCUUUGGAUGUGUCCAGCUAAAAUGCUCUUAGCUGUGUUUUUCCUGAGGAUAUUAAAUAUGGAUUGUAUCAAUAGAUACAAAUACUGAUCUUUGUAUCCAAACAUUUCUAGACUCACUAGAAAUGAGGGGGUUUGCAUGUUUUAUACACUAUAAACAUAACUGCUAUUUUGCUCUUAUCAUUGCAUAGUAUCUAUAAAAAUUACAAGGAAAAGAUCUUUAACCUCAUCAGAACACACUGAAACUGAAAAUUGAAUGCAGUGCCCCUGCUGAAGCCUGAGACUCAGAAUUCACAUCUGGAUCUUUAACCAUGUAAAGCUUUGGCUCUCUGGAGGUGCAUCUUAUCUAGGGAUACAGGGAGAGACCCCUGAGGAUAUCUAGUAUCUGCAAUCUGCUUCUGGUUCUUGGGAACUGUACUUCCUGUACAGCACUUAAAAUGUUAGCAUUACUCAGGAGUUAGUAAUAGACUCUGACUACAGUCAAAACAAGCCACAGCACAUGCAUUAUUUAACUAGUAAGAUGCAAAUAUAAUUUGAAUUAGUCAGCCUUCCCGAUAGGGUGAAAUAUUUGGGAAUUUGUUUAACAUGAUGAUAGACUUCAACUAGCACUUCGGUCCUUCGGCAUUUCUGGUCUAGCUGUGUAACUGGAGGAGUUCUGGGUGACUACACUCAUCUGAAAAUAAAAAUAAUUGUAACUUGUAAAUUCCUUGAAAAGAUUUUUUAGGAGAGAAUUUGUUGUAUUUACUGCUCAAAGAUAAACACAUCCUUAGAUACAUUCCAGCCUGUCCAUAUAGCAAUAAAGCGAUGGUCCGAUUUACCUGCCAUGGCCUCAUUAGCAAUUCUCCUAGUUUUCUGUAUCAAACAUUAGUACAAAGCGUACACACAUGAGUUUGGCCAUAGCUAGAAAUGCUUCUGCAGUGCUAACACAGGACACUUUGCUUCCUUCAACAUUCUUAAAGAGAGCCAUAAAAAAGGGAGGUUGAUGGUUAAUUGUAGGCAAAAGUAAUUUAGCACGAGCUGAGUUACGUGUUGAGUAUUUUGGCUUCGUGCAAUUGGCAGGCUGUUUACUGACUUAGCUUAACUUACUUGAGUUUUUUGGCAUGAAAUGAAAAGCAAACUGGGAGUAACAGGGAACACAGUUUCAUAAGGGAACACGAUAGCCAUUUCUGUCUUCACUUGUUUAAGUUCUGGUUUUAUAUAGUACUGCCAAGGGUUAAAGAGGAGAUAUGUGCAAUUCAGUUCCAUUUCUCUUGUGCUGUUUUGAGCUGCAGAGAUCUAAAAGCUUGUCUUUAACGAAGAGAUUGGGUCCAAAAUGGUAUAUUUAUUUCAGAACAAGGUGUUUAUCACGUAAAUUAUAUAUUCCUUUCAGUAUUACAUGACAACCCAAGGGGGCUUUCCUUUGGAGAAUCACCAGUGCAACCUUGAAGUCUUUUAAAACAAUGUGCCUUGGUGAGUAACUUAAAUGCCACAGUUUGUGGCAUUUAUCACUGCACAGAACAGCUUUUGGAGCAGCUGCAUCGACAGAUCUGCUGCAGGAUUUUUUGGGGAGCAAACAGGGGGACUGAGUGGGCUUCUUUGUUGUACCUAAUUGCUUCUAGUCUGGACAUCCCGGAAGACUACUGUAUUCCUUUCCUCUCCCAACCCCACUAUUUAAAGAUUUGUAGUAGGUUUUGUACAUCUCUUCUGCAAGCAGCCUUCCUUGAGCUCAAGACCAAGUAAGGGAAAUCUUCAGCCAAAUUCCUUUUGAAUUGGAAAAUUUAAAUAACUUGAGGAAAAAGGAGUAAGACAAUGGAAAGUGGAAUCCAGCUUUAUUUGUAACAGAUGCUAUUAACACAUGCUUAGUUUUAUAGCCUAUUCUGGCAGCCUUUCACCUCUUUCUUGUGAAAAAAACUUUUAAUACUAAAAGUUCAUUGCCAGUCCCAGGCAAAAGUGCACAAAUAAAAUGGGCUGAUGGUCUCACUAUAACUCAUAAAAAUGCAUUAAAUACCAGUUAAGGAUUAAGAAUUAUCUCUUCAUUCAUUUUAUCUUUUCCUUUAUUCCUGAAAUAGGGUGCAGGUAGGGGAAGGAAAAGCUGUGCUGCAUGCUUCCAUGCUUUGAUGGCAGCUGUGUGGUGAAAUUACUGCAGUUUUGAUGUGACUGCAGAUAACCAGGGGGCUCAGCAUGGACUCACACCUGAAGCCUGGUGUACCCAGUUAUUUCUAAAUACACGAUGAUCUAGAAACAACCAUGAGUCUUCAUUUUGGUGGCAAGGGUUUCAUCCUGCAGUACAAAUGCAGCCACAGAUUCUGCUUUGACCACGUGAAGCACAUGCCUAGCUUUUCUUGGUUCAUAAGCAGAUUUUUAGCACAGAAUGUCAAAUCAGAUAAUUUAUAAAGUAAAAUUAGCGAAAUGAGACAGGUUUUUCUCACUGCUCAUUACUCAUUUUUUCUGAUAAAUUUCACUCAUUUUAACUAGGUUGUACUUCUGCUCACAGAGGGGCUUCCCGUUCCAGCUUAUCUUUUUUAGAUAUUCAGCAGAUAAUUCAAAUGCAAAAUGUGAACGGCGCUACUUAUUUUUAGAACCUUACAUAAAUACAGGCAGACAUAGGUUUGAAAAUAAGUUAGGAGAGACGAGAGAACUCUGAACCAUUUGGGUAAAAAAUGUUGGUAGGCACCUGUUCUAGCUCUCUUUGGUACAGCCUGCACAGGAAAGGGAAUCUCCAUUGCCAUCUCUUCAGACAUCUCCACCUACUCGUGCUGGAGAACAGGAGAAUGUGAUAUCAUGGUGCAGGAGGUGAGAUGAUUCUUUGUAAUAAUUAAAAAUGCAACAAAACUUAGUAGGAUGAACUCCAGUAAAAUUUUCUGUCUCACAAGGAUAAAACCUAUUCUAUAUUUUGAAAUUUCCAAAAUGAUCAGCACAACUGGACUAGUUCCUGUACCAUCUCUGAGGAAGGCACCUGUCGCAGGCACAUUUUAUCCUUGUGCUGAGCACUGCCCAGGUUGACCUUUUUGGGUCAUUAUUUAAGCGUUGAGUCAAAUGGGAAAACUGAUUUCUAGGUCUUGUAGUCAGUUUGAGCUUUACAAACCCAGAUGGUUCAUGGAUUAGCUCAUGGGCAAAAUGAACAGUUUUUCUUAGGGUCCCAUAUGUGUGAAUGUUGAAACUCUUCCUAAACCCUGAUAAACUCCACUCUCUGGGGUCCCUGUGUGCCAGUGCCAGUAUGUUCUGUGUAUGUGUGGUUUUCUGCUCCUGAGAGUACUCAUUACACAGACCCACCUGGGCUGUGUUAAUCCAUAGUUCAGUCCAGCCUCCUGAAUGUACUUGGGGACCUACCCCAUAGUGAAUCAGGAGUUGCAUGCCGACUUUUCCGGUACCAAUCCCAUUGUUUUUUGCACCUAGCUUCACAAGCAGAUUUUGACACCUAAGAUGGGAUGCAGGCUCCUGUAGGUUGCACUAUGGUAAGGAGUCCCAAUUCCCAUGGUUUGAGCUGUGCAGGAAGGAAUUGGUGGACAAGAAGCUCCAGCAAUGUCCGCUCACAGCCCAGAAAGCCAGCCAUGUUCUGGGCUGCAUCCAAAGCAGCAUGGCCAGCAGAGCGAGGGAGGGAAUUCUGCCCCUCAGCUCUGCUCUGUUCUGCUGUGGGACCCACGUGCAGUGCUGCAUCCAGCUCUGGGGCCCUCAACACAAGAAAGAUGUGGACCUGUUAGACCAAAUCCAGAGGAGGACCACCAAGAUGAUCAGAGGUCUCCUCUGAGAGCACCUCUCUUAUGAAGACAGGCUCAGAUAGUUGGGGUUGUUCAGCCUGGAGGAAAGAAGGCUCUGAGGAUACCAUUUAGCACCUUGCAGUACCUAAAAGGGGCCUGCAAGAGAUCUGGACAUUUUACAAGGAUGUAUAGUGGUAGGACAAGGGGGAAUGGCUUAAAAAUUAAUGAGGAGAGGUUUAGAUUAGAUAUUAGAAAGAAAGUCUUUACUGUGAGGGUGGUUAUACACUGGAAGAGGUUGCCCAGAGAGGUUUUGGCUGCUCCAUCCCUCCCUGGAAGUGUUCAAGACCAGGUUGGAUUGGGCUUUGACCAACCUGGUCUAGUGAAAACUGUCCCUGACCAUGGCAGGGGGACUGAAACUAGGUGAGACCUAAAGUCUCUUCCAGCCUAAACAUUCUAUGAUUGAGUCCACAAAUUUCCUUUGGUCAGAAAAAAGGAGCCAAGUGGUGUUUUGUUGCUGAAAGUGAGAACUGAGGACAGGUGAAGAUCAACAUCUCAGUUUCAAAGACUGAUGAAAUGUUGCAACUAAGGAUUGUUCAAAUAUGAACUUCUGACUUCUAAAACAACUUGCCUCUUCAUGCAGCUGAUGUGCUCUUGAGGCACACUUGUGUUUUUCUUAUGAUGUUCGGAGUGGAUUCUGCUGUGGGAUUGAGGAACUGCAAAGCUGGAAACAUCUGGCUCUGAGGAGUGUGAGGCUGGCAUCACCACCCUGGCCAAGCACUUCACCUUUGCCUCAAAUUCAUCAUCUGUGGCAUCAGACCACUGAGCAGAUGAUUGCCAAAUACAAGGUCUGGAACAAGGAACAGUAUAGGGACAAAGAAUGCAUGGUCUAGGGCUGGAAGGGUCAAAAGCAGCCCUGCUUGAGGUGGGACAAAGAGCCCAAGGUUCCCCUCCUGACAUGAGAUCAGCCUGUGGCCUCAUGCAUUGAUGCAAGAGCAGAGACAUGAACCUAAAGUCCUCCUGGAGCAGAGUAGUGGAACAUCUGGGUGGCUCAUACAUGACAAGUCAUUCUUGAUGCUACAGUGAAGGCAGAGGUGCUCUCACUCCUCUGCCACCCUCACACACAAUCUAUGAACAUACUGAAAACUCAAUUUGCAAAUCCAUCGUGGCUUCUUGUGGUGCUUUCUGGCACCUUUGAUCUCUGACUCCGAGUGCAAUUUGCAGGGAUGAACACCAGAACUUGUGAAAGCCAACAGACACCACCCAUUGGCUUUGACAGCCCCCAAACCAUGUGCCUGGCACUGGCUGUGUUCAACAGCAGACCUGUCCCACCUGGUGGGCCACCACAUCCCCAGGAGCUGUGGAGCAAGGAUGUGACUCACCCCCAGCAGCCAGCAAGUCAGGGAUGGAAGCCCUGAAAGCCCUGGGCCUCUGCUCUACCCAGCAGACCGCACCCUCCAGGGUUUCCUGCCUGUGGUGAAUUGUGUCAGGUUUUAUCUGUAAGACAAGUUUAAAAGCAAAAAAACAAAAGAAAGAAAAAAUAAAAGCCCCCAAAAACAAGGAAACAAACAAACAAACAGUAAAACCAACUUAGUUCUCAUGAAUGAGAAACUACUCAGUCUUCAAAAGCGUUCUCAGCCUUUCGGGGAGCAGCACGUCACUCAAAUAACUGCAGAAAGGUUGUGGGUUUCCUCUGUUUCUUAUGACCUUCAGUCUGACUAGCGAGCUUUUACCAAUGAUAGUGAGUGAUUAACACUCACUGAUAAAAAUGGUUCCACCUUUCUGGGGAGCCUUUUUGUCAGGAUGACCUCUUUGGGAAAAACAGCUCACAGAUUCUGGUCUAAGCUGACUACUCCAUUGUGCUACAGAAAUGAAGGGCGAGUCAGACACACACCGCCCCUCCCCCAUACACGCCGAUAUUUAAGAAAAGUAAAAUUGAUACACUAGGGCUGUAAUAAUCAGACUUGUACACAACAUGGUCAGCCACAACUAGCCACAUGGUGGUAAACACUCAUCUAGAAAUAGGUGUCUGAGACUUGCUGGGAGGUGUUAUCUGUAUUCAUAGUGUCACAUUCUCUCUAAUGGACUGUUUUUCCCAUCAGCCAGAUCCAAAAUGAAGUGUGCUUGCAAGAUCAGUCUGGUUGCUUUACACAUGUUGUUCAUUUUUUAUUUUUUUUUUUUGUUUCAGCUUAUACAAAUAUGAGUGAAUCUCACUAAAUUACUCUCCUUUGAAAGUGGCCAAAGGCCAAUUUGCCAUCAAACAUCCUUCCUGUGCUUUUAUCAUGCUGCAGAGAGCAGGGAGAAGAACAAAGACACAGUGGGCUGGUGGAGCAUCAUUUGCAGUGACUCACACCACAAAGUGUGGGCUUUUUGGAAUGAUGCCCCAAAUGUUUAUUUCCUUCUAUUCUUCAUCUUGUUGGGGUGUUUUUGUGUUUUCUUCCCACUUCCCAUAUCUGCAUUUUGUUUGUGUUUACAUCUAUUCAGUUCCUUAUAUUCCAAUAAAACUCAGUUGCUGCCAUUUUGUCAGAGUCUUGGGGCUGGUUGGUCCUUUUGGGGUUUGUGUUUUGCUUGGUCUUUUAUGGGGAAUAGGUUUUAUAUAUCUUUGAUUUAUUGGAGGGGGUGUUACCUGAGGGGGAUUUUGCAGUGACAAUAUAUUUUCUUUCUUUAAAAAAUUUACACUUUUCACCAGUGCAAUAUUUAUUUCAGCUUAACUUCAACAUAACAAAGGUUUUCUCUGUGGCAAAACAGAAUCUGUUUUACACAUCCUGUUUUAUUCCAUUUGAAACUGUGCCAUUUUGGCCCUGGGAAAGAAGAGAAUGUGUGGUGGGAGCAACACCAGCAGGAGCUAAAGGAUGAAAAGUGAAGCUAGGACUGCUCUAAAAAGCACAAUGCCUUCCUAAGCAUGAGGAGGAAUAAGUGCUCCAGCUUCAUGGGACAUCGUCUACCCUUCCUGCAUACCUGGUGGAAGAUUCCACUGCAGCAUCCCUGCAGCUCUUACCACCUGCACAAGACUGCCCCAAGAGGGUUUUUCAUCUGCUGUUCUGCUCUGCUCUUCACAACAGCCAGAUAGAUGAGCGGUAAGGGGUUGAUUUACCAGGCUUUUUAUUUUUCUGUGGAGCUUUUGCCUCAGCAAUGCUUUGUGGCAAUGAGUCCACAGGUUAGAGAGAGUGAGCAAGUUUGGGGUUUUUUUACAAGUUUUAGCUCCUGUGCUCCUGUGCCAUUCAGACUAUUAUCCUAACCCAUGCAACAGUUUAUCAUUCAUAGUUGAGAGAGUUUUGCUGCUCCUUGAGUUAUUGAGUACCUCUAAGUGUACUGGGGUGCCUCCAUUCCCCUAUGGAGCCUUCCUUCGUGAGUGUCAGCUGUUCCCAGGCACAGACACAGUGGCCUUGGCCCACCCUUUCCAAUACAUGCCCACGGUCUCCUCACUAUCUCACUUGCCCAGAGGGCCAUGCAGGUCAAGCUGCAUUUCUGGAGGCACUGGUGUUCUUUCAUUCCAGGGAAUGGGACACCUGCCACCCUUCCUGGUGGCACUCUAGGGCAGCAGGGGAAAGAGGGGCUAGGACACAAUGGGAGUUCAAUGAAGAGACAGAGCGUGAAGACUCAGAGACAAGUGUUGGAGAUGAGUCAGAAAGCAUAUGGAAGAGUGAGCUAGUCAGCAGCACUCAGGGCAAGUGCAGGUCAUACCUGGUGAGCAGUCCAGGGACACCUUCCCCUGCUCUGGUCUGGGGAACCAGAACCCUUUGGUGUCCAAAUGGGGUGAUGAUGACACCCAGGCAGCCAAGCCUUUCCCCAGGAUGUCAUGAGGAUUGUGUGCUGGCUGGGACAGUAGCCUCGUGGUGUGACAGGGACACAGCCCUCCUGCAGCCUCUGCCUCCCCAGAUGUCCAUCAGGCCCUAAGGAGAAGCAGGUUUGAUUCUGAAUCUGGGGACAAGCUUUUCCUGGGGCUGCCCAGAACCUCCUCAAAUGCCCCGCUGGUCUCUGCCUGGCCAGGCUGACCAGGACAGUAUGGUCUCUUGUCACCCUCCAGCAAGUUCAGAGAUAACGACAAAAGGCUCACAAAUAUAUUUCAUGGAAGCCAGCUCAGAAUAAAAAGCAACCCAUCAUUUCAGGAAACCUCAUUUUUCAUUUGUAAAACACUUUCAUUCAGAAAAAAAGGGAGGUGGAGGGAGAAGCAAAACAGGGUUCUGCUUCUUCCCAACCACAGCAAAUACACUGUACAGCAAUUUCAGUCUUUGAAAAAAUGCAAAAAUGGGACAAAAGGAAAUCCAGCAGUUGCCUCUUUCUUCUCAGUUACAGUUGCUUGUAAUUUUGG